GUGACCUGGUUGACAUUCAGCUUUGCCCAUACAGAAAUAAAUCACAUUUUACACACAGCAAAAUAUCCAGUGUUGUUUAGAGUUGUUUUUAUGGUGUUCAUUUCUGGUGUUGAUCUGAAUGACAUUAACACUUGCAGUGUAAAUCAGUGGUCGGAGUCAGUGUAAUUUCAGCGAGUUGACAUAAUUGACACUGGUGAUGAGUUGAUCCAAUUUCCAGUCCCUGCACAUUAUUUCCUUUUUGAUUAAUGGAGAGGACAGUGUUCAAACAGGUAUAUUAUUUUAUAACCACUUAAAUUGACCAAUUUUCAUGUUUAGUUUACGUUUCUCACCAUCCAGAAUAACAUUAGUACAUUUCUCAACAUUGCUAGAGUGCUAACAGUGUUUCUUUUCAGAUAACGUGACAGACCACCGACAGCAUCUCGAGGCCAUUUAGCUGCACCACUUGCUAGCAAGCAAAUUGAGCUUUCAUGUUCAUCAAGGCGUGAAGACAUUUGUAAAACUGCACAGCAAUAGUAGGUUCCAAGACUUUCUCACUGAAGGAGCAUUUCUACGUUCCAGAAAAGGGAACGGAGUUCAUCUCCUGGCGCCUUAAAAUUUUGUCGAGGAAGAACCCAAAACGUGUUGGCUUGGCGAUGACUGAAAGUGGAGGACCAAGUCGAAGAAGGAUAGAUGAUGUGCAACAACUCGAAGGAGAUGCAUGCAGAGAGGUAACUUCUUUCCUUGUCCAUGAAGCUGAAGUUAUGCAAAAGAUGAAG
rnacentral:lncRNA from 1 species